CAACCCUCAUGCCCCCUGUGGGCGUGGUGUUGGGGAUCGGCCUCGCCCCCUAGCGGGCGGCGCCGUCCCCUAAAUCUAGUGGCGGUCUCGCUGUAGCUUCCUCUGCGUAGUAGCACACCUCGCACCGGAAAGCAGCGCGGCCACGCCGUUAAACCCCCAACUCUUUAA
rnacentral:misc_RNA from 1 species